AACACAAACCCGAGUGAAACGCUGGGGCAGCUUCUGGGCUUCUGGGCCGGCAGCAAGCGGCUGGGCCGAGCCGCGCGAGGUCCCCGUCGUCCCGGUCUGUCGAUUGGUUCCAGGCUUGUUACUCAGGCGCCUUUUAAUCAGCGGUGGAUGCCCUUUCUCUUGCGCUUUCAAAAGCUGAUCCCUGCAGUGAGCGCGGCCCAGCUCUUCAAGUCUGGGAGGCGACCUUCAGGACCGCAGGGGUGUGGGCUGCGUGUGCCCCCGGGAGCCGACAAGAGUCCACGUUGGGGCAGCUGAGAGCGCGACGCUGGGUGGGGGUAAACAGGCCCUCGCCUCCCUCCCCUGGUGCCCCUGGGGCCCAUUCAGGGGCUCAUCCCUCCAGCUGGUUCCAGAAUCCCUCUGCUCAGGCAGAGACUGGGAGCGCGGUGCCCAUUCCAGGGUGUGCGGGCAGGCUGUGACACCGGGCCAUGCUCCCCAUCUCCUCAACCGUCAGACUCUUCAGCCAGCCUCGGUAUUGAGAAAUUUGAAAUAGAUCUCUGUUGAGUCUGUCACCUCUGAUAUCUUACAGCAUUACCUUUCAACCUGUUAACGCAAAUCACAAAACAUUCCAAAUGUCUUUCUUUUCUUUCGGUCCAUUCGAACCAGCUGAAAACAGGCCGGGCUGCUCUCUGUUGACACGAGAGCAGCCAGGGGGUUCCUGUUGUGCGCCUGCCCCCGCCCCGCCCUCGGCUCAGCCUCCGUGGUGGACCCCACAGGGGCCUGGGCCAGGACAGCGCCCGGCUUGGUGUUCCCUGGGGACGGAGCCCCGAGCUCAUCCAGGGUCUUUACACUCGGAAGGGAAACUCCCCGGGGGUCGGGGCCCCUCCCCGGGCUGUCCCUGCAGCUCACGCCACCCCCGCCUCCACCCCCAGCACCGGCCGUGGAACAGGCCUCUGUGCUCAACCCGUGUCCCAGCUUGAGAGACGCGUGACGCAGUGUAAAAAGUGUACUGUACAGCCACGGUGGUUAGUUGAACGUGUUUUGUAUAUAUGACUUUUAUAAAACAAUUAAAAUUCGCCUUAAAC
ensembl:lncRNA